GAUGAACGCUAGCGGCAGGCUUAAUACAUGCAAGUCGUGGGGCAGCAGGACUGUAGCACUACAGUUGUUGGCGACCGGCAAACGGGUGCGGCACACGUACGCAACUUCUCCUGAACUGGGGGAUAGCCCGGGGAAACCCGGAUUAAUACCCCGUAAUAUAAUGGCGUGGCAUCCCUUUAUUAUUAAAGCUCCGGCGGUUCGGGAUGGGCGUGCGGCUGCUUAGGUAGUUGGUUGAGGUAACGGCUCACCAAGCCUACGAUCAGUAACUGGUGUGCGGGCACGACCAGUCACACGGGCACUGAGACACAGGCCCGACUCCUACGGAAGGCAGCAGUAAGGAAUAUUGGGCAAUGGAGGCAACUCUGACCCAGCCAUGCCGCGUGGAGGAGGAAGGCCCUCUGGGUUGUAAACUUCUUUUAUAGGGGACGAAACCUGGGUAUUCUUACGCAGUUGACGGUACCCUAGGAAUAAGCACCGGCUAACUCCGUG
rnacentral:rRNA from 1 species